rnacentral:rRNA from 1 species
UUCCGGUUGAUCCUGCCGGACCCCACUGCUAUCGAGAUGGGACUAAGGUAUGCUAGUCGAACGACCAGAACUAUGUCUGGAAGUGGCACACUGCUCAGUAACACGUAGCUAACCUACCCUUAGGACGUGGAUACCCCCGAGAAAUUGGGGUUAAUCCGCGAUAGGUGUAAUGUCCUGGAAUGGUAUUACGCCUAAAGGUGUAUCAUACAUGUUUGAUAUACGCCUAAGGAUGGGGCUGCGGCCGAUCAGGCUGUUGGUGAGGUAAUGGCUCACCAAACCUUUGACCGGUACGGGCCAUGAGAGUGGUAGCCCGGAGAUGGACACUGAGACAAGGGUCCAGGCCCUAAGGGGCGCAGCAACCGCGAAACCUCCACAAUGCACUCACGUGCGAUGGGGCUAUCUCGAGUGCCACCUGAUGAAGGUGGCUUUUCCUAGGUCUUCAAAGCCUUGGGAAUAAGAGGGGGGCAAGACUGGUGUCAGCCGCCGCGGUAACACCAGCCCCUCGAGUGGUGGGGAUGAUUAUUUGGCCUAAAGCGUCCGUAGCCGGCCGAGCAAGUCUUCCGUUAAAUCCAGCGUCUCAAGCGUUGGACUGCGGGAGAUACUACACGGCUAGAGAGUGGGAGAGGUCAGCGGUAUUCUGGGGGUAGGGGCGAAAUCCUUUGAUCCCCGGAGGACCACCAGUGGCGAAGGCUGCUGACUAGAACACGUCUGACGGUCAGGGACGAAAGCUGGGGUAGCGAACCGGAUUAGAUACCCGGGUAGUCCCAGCCGUAAACGAUGCAUGCUAGGUGUUGGGUUGGCCACGAGCCACCC